AGCGAACGCUGGCGGCAGGCCUAACACAUGCAAGUCGAGCGCCGUAGCAAUACGGAGCGGCAGACGGGAGAGUAACACGUGGGAACGUACCCUUUGGUUCGGAACAACCCAGGGAAACUUGGGCUAAUACCGAAUAAGCCCUCACGGGGAAAGAUUUAUCGCCGAAGGAUCGGCCCGCGUCUGAUUAGCUAGUUGGUGGGGUAAUGGCCCACCAAGGCGACGAUCAGUAGCUGGUCUGAGAGGAUGAUCAGCCUCACUGGGACUGAGACACGGCCCAGACUCCUACGGGAGGCAGCAGUGGGGAAUAUUGGACAAUGGGCGCAAGCCUGAUCCAGCCAUGCCGCGUGGGUGAUGAAGGCCCUAGGGUUGUAAAGCCCUUUCGGCGGGGAAGAUAAUGACGGUACCCGCAGAAGAAGCCCCGGCUAACUUCGUGCCAGCCGCCGCGGUAA
rnacentral:rRNA from 1 species